rnacentral:rRNA from 1 species
GACGAACCGUGCGAACGUUAUUCGGAAUCACUGGGCUUAAAGCGCGUGUAGGCGGGACGGCACGUCCGACGUUGAAAUCCCCCGGCUCAACCGGGGAACGGGCGCGGAUACGACCGUCCUGGAGGAACGUAGGGGGACCUGGAACUUCCGGUGGAGCGGUGAAAUGCGUUGAGAUCGGAAGGAACGCCCGUGGCGAAAGCGAGGUCCUGGACGUUUACUGACGCUGAGACGCGAAAGCCAGGGGAGCAAAGCGGG